rnacentral:rRNA from 1 species
GGAAUAUUGCACAAUGGGGGAAACCCUGAUGCAGCCAUGCCGCGUGUGUGAAGAAGGCCUUCGGGUUGUAAAGCACUUUCAGUAGGGAGGAAAGGGUGUAGUUUAAUACGCUAUAUCUGUGACGUUACCUACAGAAGAAGGACCGGCUAACUCCGUGCCAGCAGCCGCGGUAAUACGGAGGGUCCGAGCGUUAAUCGGAAUUACUGGGCGUAAAGCGUGCGCAGGCGGUUUGUUAAGCGAGAUGUGAAAGCCCUGGGCUCAACCUAGGAAUAGCAUUUCGAACUGGCGAACUAGAGUCUUGUAGAGGGGGGUAGAAUUCCAGGUGUAGCGGUGAAAUGCGUAGAGAUCUGGAGGAAUACCGGUGGCGAAGGCGGCCCCCUGGACAAAGACUGACGCUCAUGCACGAAAGCGUGGGGAGCAAACAGGAUUAGAUACCCCAG